rnacentral:rRNA from 1 species
GACGAACGCUGGCGGCGUGCCUAACACAUGCAAGUCGAGCGAUGAAGUUCUUCGGAACGGAUUAGCGGCGGACGGGUGAGUAACGCGUGAGCAAUCUGCCUUACACAAAGGGAUAGCCUCGGGAAACUGGGAUUAAUACCAUAUGACACUUGGUAAUCGCAUGAGGACCAAGUCAAAGAUUUUAUCGGUGUAAGAUGAGCUCGCGUCUGAUUAGCUAGUUGGUGGGGUAAAGGCCUACCAAGGCGACGAUCAGUAGCCGGCCUGAGAGGGUGAACGGCCACACUGGGACUGAGACACGGCCCAGACUCCUACGGGAGGCAGCAGUGAGGAAUUUUGCGCAAUGGGGGAAACCCUGACGCAGCGACGCCGCGUGGAGGAUGAAGGCCUUCGGGUCGUAAACUCCUGUCAGAGGUGAAGAAUACCGCAAGGGUUGACGGUAACCUCAGAGGAAGCCCCGGCUAACUACGUG